rnacentral:rRNA from 1 species
AUGACUGGGGUGAAGUCGUAACAAGGUAACCGUAGGGGAACCUGCGGUUGGCUCACCUCCUGCCCUGAAAGCAGC